UUUUAGGGCCACACACACAGCAUAUAGAGGUUCCCAGGCUAGGCGUUGAACCGCUGGCCUAAGCCACAGCUAUAGCAAUGCCAAAUCCUUAACUCACUGAGCGAGGCCAGGGGUCGAACCUGCAUCCUCAUGGAUCCUAGUCAGAUUUGUUUCCACUGAGCCAUUACGGGAACUCCAACCAUUCAUCUGUUGACAGACAUUUAGGUUGUUUCCACAUCUUGGCUAUUGUAAAUAAUGCUGCAGUGAACAUGGGGGUGCAUUUAUCUUUUUAAGUUAGUGUUUUUGUUUUCUUUGGAUAAAUACCCAGAAAUGGAGUUACUAGAUCAUAUGGUAUUUCUCUUUUUAAUUUUUUGAGGAACCUCCAUACUGUUUUCCACAGUGGCUGCAUCAGUUAACAUUCCCUUUUGUCCACAUUCUCGCUAACACUUAUUUCUUGUCUUUUGGAUGAACAGGUGUGAGGUGAUAUCUCAUUGUGGUUUUGUUCAAUCCCUGGCCUUGUUCAGUGGGUUAAGGAUCCGGUGUUGCUGUAAGCUGUGGUGUAGGUUGCAGACAUGGCUCGGAUCCCACCUUGCUGUGGCUCUGGUGUAGGCCGGCGGCUAUGGCUCUGAUUCGACCCCUAGCCUGGGAACCUCUAUAUGCUGUGAGAGUGGCCUAAGAAAUGGCAAAAAGACGAAACAAACAAACAAAAAAGUUGCCAGGGGCCUGUCUUGCAAGAGGCUGGGGCAGUUGUGGUACAGCUAUGUGUGUAUGUAUGAACAUUUGUGUUUUGUGUGUUUAGCAGCCAUAUGAGUACCAGAGUGUCCUGAUGUCAAGUAUUUUGUCCACUUGUCCGAUUUGUGGGUCAGAAAACAAUGAAUCUACCAUGUUUAUACUGGCUCUAUUCUGGAGUUGUCCCCCAUGACCUAUGUGGCAGCCCCAAGCAAGACAAGGCCAGCCUUGGCACCAGAGCAAGCUCAAAAGCUCCAUCCUAUGAGAGCAUAUUUGUUGGCUAAUGACAGAUUGACUCAGACACCAAGCCUGGUAGGAGGAGACAGCAACAAGCAGCUUGGACCAGGGAAAUUUUUCUAUUCACUUGUGCUGCAGGGACAAAGGUCUUAGGGUGUUCCAUAUCCUCCAGAAGCCCCUACCCACCAACCCCAUCCUCCUUGCCCUAGGUGCACUCAUCUCACCAAGCCUCCCUCUGUAGCUUUAUGCCAGGUGUCUACAUAGGGGCAAGAGUCUCUAGGGACUGAGUGCCAUGACCUGACCCAUGGUAGGCAUGCUACAUGAAAAAUUAACAUGAUUGAAACUAACCCAAGUAGAAAUGAAUUAAAACAUGAUUAUGAGUCUAGGGGUGGAUCUGGGAGUGGGGGGUCAAGUAUGAGGAGGUAGGGUUCAGGGGUGCAUAAUGCUCUCAUGUCUGCGUCUACCCCCCAUGUAGAUGAACCAAUCCAUUGCAUCCAUUCAACACCCAUUCCUGAUGCCUACUCAGGACCCAGCUCUAUAUCAAGUACCAAGCUAAGCCAGAUGGAGCAAUUCUUUUUUUUUUUAUUUUCCCACUGUACAGCAAGGGGGUCAGGUUAUCCUUACAUGUAUACAUUACCAUUACAGUUUUUCCCCCAACCUUUCUUCUGUUGCAACAUGCGUAUCUAGACAUAGUUCUCAAUGCUAUUCAGCAGGAUCUCCUUGUAAAUCUAUUCUAGGUUGUGUCUGAUAAGCCCAAGCGCCCGAUCCCUCCCACUCCCUCCCCCUCCCAUCAGGCAACCAUAAGUCUCUUCUCCAAGUCCAUGAUUUUCUUUUCUGAGGAGAUGUUCAUUUGUGCUGGAUAUUAGAUUCCAGUUAUAAGUGAUAUCAUAUGGUAUUUGCCUUUGUCUUUCUGGCUCAUUUCACUCAGUAGGAGAGUCCCUAGUUCCAUCCAUGUUGCUGCAAAUGGCAUUAUGUCAUCCUUUUUUAUGGCUGAGUAGUAUUCCAUUGUGUAUAUAUACCACUUCUUCCGAAUCCAAUCAUCUGUGGAUGGACAUUUGGGUUGUUUCCAUGUCCUGGCUAUUGUGAAUAGUGCUGCAAUGAACAUGCGGGUGCAUGUGUCUCUUUUAAGUAGAGUUUUGUCCGGAUAGAUGCCCAAGAGUGGGAUUGCAGGGUCAUAUGGAAGUUCUAUGUAUAGAUUUCUAAGGUAUCUCCAAACUGUUCUCCAUAGUGGCUGUACCAGUUGACAUUCCCACCAGCAGUGCAGGAGGGUUCCCUUUUCUCCACAGCCCCUCCAGCACUUGUUAUUUGUGGACUUAUUAAUGAUGGCCAUUCUGACUGGUGUGAGGGGGGAUCUCAUGGUAGUUUUGAUUUGCAUUUCUCUUAUAAUCAGCGAUGUUGAGCAUUUUUUCAUGUGUUUGUUGGCCAUCUGUAUAUCUUCUUUGGAGAAAUGUCUAUUCAGGUCUUUUGCCCAUUUUUCCAUUGAUUGAUUGGUUUUUUUGCUGUUGAGUUGUAUAAGUUGCUUAUAUAUUCUAGAGAUUAAGCCCUUGUCAGUUGCAUCAUUUGAAACUAUUUUCAGAUGGAGCAAUUCUAACCCUUUCAUUCUUUGAAGGGGCCAUGUGUGUCCAUCCCUGGGAGGAAGAAGAAACAACUGAAAUUUAAAUUACAGUAAACUAAACUUUAUCUUUUGAACCACAGGUGUUGUUUUUGUCACUCCCUGCACUUGCCUUCAAAGAUGGAGCCAGGUAAGUACUGUGGUGGGAAGCUGUAGGGUGGAAGAAGGGAGAAGGGUGGUGAAGGCAGGGGCAAUCAGUCAGUCAUAUCCACUGCAAGCCAAGAGCAUGUGUGUUUGUGUGUGUGUAUGUGAAGGUGGUAGAAGGGUUCCAAAAUGAAAACAAGCCCUUAUAUUUUGUAGUACCAUCUACAGUUUAAGAAACCAAGUUCCCCUUCCGGCUCAGUGGAUUUCAGACCCGACUAGUAUCCAUGAGGAUGUGGAUUCAAUCCCUGGCCUCACUCAGUAGGUUGAGCGUUGCCAUGAGCUGUGGUGUAUGUUGCAGAUGCAGCUCAGAUCCUGUGUUGCUGUGACUGUGGUGUAGGCCAGCAACUGCAGCUCCACUUUGACCCCUAGCCUGGGAACUUCCAUAUGCUGUGGGCGCGGCCCUAAAAAGCAAAAAAUAAAAAUAAUAAGUAAGAGACAUGCCCACUGGAGAGUCCUCAUGGCUCAGCAAGUUAAGGAUCCAGAAGUGUCAAUGCUGUGGCUCUGGUUCCAGCUGAGGUGUGGGUUCAAUCCUUGACCUGGGAACUUCUGCAUGCCACAGGCAC
rnacentral:lncRNA from 1 species